CAAAGUUCAUUCGAUUUGUGUAUUAGCCCAAGCAAAACUCCCGGAAGACGAAGAAGAAGAUGGUGAUGGCGUUUCUGUUCUGGCCAAGUACGUUGUUUUUCCGGCGACUAUGGCCUCCGCCGCCGUACGGUUCCUCUUCCUACAAACAGGGAAGAAGAGAUCAGUAGAAGGGAUUUGAACAAUCAAACAAUCUUUUCUCCUGAUGCAGGUGGCUGGGAAUUCGUGUGUGAAUCGUAGACCUCGUCCCCUUCUGAAUUUUCGAUUCGGUGUGUUAUCAUUCUUCUUCUAAUAACAUCUGGAACUCGUGUCUAGGAACAUGAGCAGUACCCGCAAGUACUCUUCGUGAAAACCCUUCAGAUAUAAACUUCUCUUUUGUUUUUUUCCGUGUUCGAAAACAUUUUCUACUGGGUUGGAUGAUAUUCUUGGCUUGGAUGCCCGAACGUCGGAUCUAAAUGAUCUGAUCAUCUUUCUCACCCUUAUUGUUGGGUUUGUGAGAAUAUAGAUAUUUGUUUGAUUGAUCUAUACAUCUUGAAUGUGAUUUGUGAGCUUUUGCUGCCUUCAGAGCUUAAACACGGCAUCGAACACAUCUGAUUCCACCAUGUCGGUUGAGGAAGUUGUCAUCGUUUACACAGCUUGCUUGAGUUUGGAAAUGUGAAACAUUUGAUUGAUGGGUAUUAGCCUCGUUAGGCUGUAGGGCAGCAUUGGGAGGAAUUCGUUUUCUCUCGGACCGAACAUAUCGAGCUUUUUGUUCGGUUGUGAAGUGCUUCGGCGGUUCGAAGUUCUUUCAGAGCAAGCAUUGUAAGUUUUGGUGUUGGGUCACAUGGGUUCUUCUCCCACUUCCUCUUCCCGUGGUGAUGUCGAUGCUGUUUGGUAACAAUGAUAAAAGCUCGUGAAGGGUGGUGCAGUGGUCAGUUGAUCUGCCGAGAAUGAGAGUUUCAUGUCGUUUUCACUUUCUAGCGAGGAAACUCGUGCCGUUUUCACGCUCUUACGCGGAUUCGCAGGGUAUCCGAAAAGUGCCCAAAACCGAUGAAAACGGAUGGAUUGUAGAUGAAAAAAAAUAAAUCUAUUCGAAUUUGGUUUUUGAUU